CCUACGGGGGGCUGCAGUGGGGAAUAUUGGACAAUGGGCAAAGGCCUGAUCCAGCAAUUCUGUGUGGAAGAAGAAGGUUUUCGGAUCGUAAAUUCCUUUCAUUUGGGAAGAAAAGUAUGACGGUACCAAAAGAAGAAGCAACGGCUAAUUACGUGCCAGCAGCCGCGGUAAUACGUAAGUUGCAAGCGUUAUCCGGAAUUACUGGGCAUAAAGGGCAUCUAGGCGGUUUCGCAAGUCAGAAGUGAAAAUUCAGGGCUCAACCCUGUCCUUGCUUUUGAAACUGCGAGACUAGAGUACAGGAGAGGAGGGCGGAACUACAAGUGUAGAGGUGAAAUUCGUAGAUAUUUGUAGGAAUGCCAAUGACGAAGGUAGCUCUCUGGACUGAAACUGACGCUGAAGUGCGAAAGUUAGGGUAGCAAACGGGAUUAGAUACCCGGGUAGUC
rnacentral:rRNA from 1 species